rnacentral:rRNA from 1 species
AAUAUUGGACAAUGGGGGGAACCCUGAUCCAGCCAUGCCGCGUGUGUGCAGACGGUCUUCGGAUUGUAAAGCACUUUAAGUUGGGAGGAAGAGUUGUAGGCUAAUACCUUGCAAUUUUGACGUUACCAACAGAAUAAGCACCUGCUAACUUCGUGCCAGCAGCCGCGGUAAUACGAGUGGUGCAAGCGUUAAUCGGAAUUAUUGGGCGUAAAGCGAGCGUAGGUGGUUCGUUAAGUUGGAAGUGAAAGCCCCGGGCUUAACCUGGGAAUUGCGUUCAAAACUGACGAGCUAGAGUACGGUAGAGGGUAGUGGAAUUUCCUGUGUAGCGGUGAAAUGCGUAGAUAUAGGAAGGAACAUCAGUGGCGAAGGCGACUACCUGGACCGGUAUUGACGCUGAGGUGCGAAAGCGUGGGGAGCAAACAGG